GUGAAGUUUCAUCUUACUUUUAAUCAAGAUUUUGAUCAACCUUAAUUUUUUGGUCUUUUGUAGAGAUUGAGCUGGUCUUAGAAUCUGCCAUCUUCAAUCAAGGCACUCUGAGAGUAAUUAUGGGAAGUUGCAAACACUUGGUUGGGAAAAGUGUAGCUGAACUAAUAAAGCGGUAUACAUUCACUAGCUACAAUGAUAUAUCUAAAGUAGAUAUAGAUAGAACAUUGGAGAAGGAUCUUCAUGGCAUUGCUCUUGUGGAUUUCGUUAACUCGAUUUGACGUCAAAUUAUUCCUUUAGUAGAUGGCUCAGUUUAUGUGGAUGUUCCUUCUGCACUUCUGUUGCUCUUGAUAUAUCCAUGAGUGUUUGCUACUAUAA